GUGGUCUUUGGCAACACACACACUAAAACUGGAACAACACAGACCAUUAGCAUGGCCCCUGUGCAAGGGCAACUAUGCAGAUUCAUGGAGCAUUCUAUAUUUCU